GGAACAUCCAGCGGCUUCACAACAUGGCGGCUGUUUGUAUCGCCUGCUGACGGCUGCCAUUGGCCGCUGCAUCAGCGAUUGACAGGACGCUCAGCCAAUCAGAGAGCAGGGUCGUGUCACUAUGGCAGAGCCCUUAAUGAACCCUCACGGAGAACAUCUGUCUGACUGAGCAGGAGAACAUCUGUCUGACUGCAGCUGGAGAACAUCUGUCUGACUGAGCAGGAGAACAUCUGUCUGACUGUAGCAGGAGAACAUCUGUCUGACUGUAGCAGGAGAACAUCUGUCUGACUGAGCUGGAGAACAUCUGUCUGACUGAGCUGGAGAACAUCUGUCUGACUGUAGCAGGAGAACAUCUGUCUGACUGAGCAGGAGAACAUCUGUCUGACUGUAGCAGGAGAACAUCUGUCUGACUGUAGCAGGAGAACAUCUGUCUGACUGCAGCUGGAGAACAUCUGUCUGACUGAGCAGGAGAACAUCUGUCUGACUGCAGCUGGAGAACAUCUGUCUGACUGUAGCAGGAGAACAUCUGUCUGACUGUAGCAGGAGAACAUCUGUCUGACUGAGCUGGAGAACAUCUGUCUGACUGCAGCUGGAGAACAUCUGUCUGACUGAGCAGGAGAACAUCUGUCUGACUGUAGCAGGAGAACAUCUGUCUGACUGUAGCAGGAGAACAUCUGUCUGACUGCAGCUGGAGAACAUCUGUCUGACUGAGCAGGAGAACAUCUGUCUGACUGAGCAGGAGAACAUCUGUCUGACUGCAGCAGGAGAACAUCUGUCUGACUGUAGCAGGAGAACAUCUGUCUGACUGAGCAGGAGAACAUCUGUCUGACUGAGCAGGAGAACAUCUGUCUGACUGAGCAGGAGAACAUCUGUCUGACUGCAGCAGGAGAACAUCUGUCUGACUGCAGCAGGAGAACAUCUGUCUGACUGUAGCAGGAGAACAUCUGUCUGACUGAGCAGGAGAACAUCUCUCUGACUGCAGCAGGAGAACAUCUGUCUGACUGAGCUGGAGAACAUCUGUCUGACUGCAGCUGGAGCUUUUUGAUUUUAAAGACGGCCAGAUGACACAUGCACACCGGAUGAGAUCAGAGUCACAUCAGCUGGUUCUCCAGCUCAUUUCUACAACUUGCUGCCUUUCACGCACAUCUGGCUCCUGCUCAGUCGGGUUGUGUCCCACCACAGCUGAAGGAGGAUCCAGGUCUAUUUAUACAAAGAGCACCAGUCUGUCUCCAGCUGGUUGAGGCCGGCUCAGUCCAGCUCCGGCUUCCUGCCCACCUGAAAGCCUCUUACUUUUAUUUCCGGGAGGAUUUAAAGACGCAGCUCAAUUAACCUUCAGUCACUUUCAAGUUCAGUCAACAGAAGCUUUUAAAGAAAUGAGCAGAGCUGAUAUUUUACUCUGCAGCUCAGUCGUCCAUCGGGCUCUGAACCGGACAAGUUCAAACUGGAUUUAUGAGCUUUAUACUGGUCUGAAAUAAAAAAUCGAAGAUCU